rnacentral:rRNA from 1 species
AACGCGAAGAACCUUACCAGCCUUUGACAUGUCCACUAUGGAUCUAAGAGAUUAGGUCCUUCGGUUCGGCCGGGUGGAACACAGGUGCUGCAUGGCUGUCGUCAGCUCGUGUCGUGAGAUGUUGGGUUAAGUCCCGCAACGAGCGCAACCCUCAUCUUCAGUUGCCACCGGGUCAGGCCGGGCACUCUGAAGAAACUGCCGGUGACAAGCCGGAGGAAGGCGGGGAUGACGUCAAGUCCUCAUGGCCCUUACAGGCUGGGCUACACACGUACUACAAUGGUGGUGACAAUGGGCAGCGAAGUCGCAAGAUGGAGCCAAUCCCCAAAAACCAUCUCAGUUCAGAUUGCACUCUGCAACUCGAGUGCAUGAAGUUGGAAUCGCUAGUAAUCGCAGAUCAGCACGCUGCGGUGAAUACGUUCCCGGGCCUUGUACACACCCUGU